rnacentral:rRNA from 1 species
GAUGAACGCUAGCGAUAGGCUUAACACAUGCAAGUCGAGGGGCAGCAUGGUCUUAGCUUGCUAAGACUGAUGGCGACCGGCGCACGGGUGCGUAACGCGUAUGCAACUUGCCUCACAGAGGGGGAUAACCCGUCGAAAGACGGACUAAUACCGCGUACACUUGGGAUAGGGCAUCCUGACCCAAGGAAAUGAAAUUCGCUGUGAGAUAGGCAUGCGUCCCAUUAGCUAGUUGGUGAGGUAACGGCUCACCAAGGCGACGAUGGGGAGGGGAACUGAGAGGUUGACCCCCCACAAUGGUACUGAGACACGGACCAGACUCCUAGGGGAGGGAGCAGUGAGGAAUAUUGGUCAAUGGGCGAGAGCCUGAACAAGCCAAGUCGCGUGAAGUAUGACUGUCUUAUGGAUUGUAAACUUCUUUUAUACGGGAAUAACAAGAGCCACGUGUGGCUCCCUGCAUGUACCGUAUGAAUAAGCAUCGGCUAACUCCGUG